GAUGGAGAGAUUGUGAAUUGGAGAGAUUGUGAAAUGGAGAGAUGGAGAGAUUGUGAGAUGGUAAAAUGGAGAGAUGGAGAGAUGGAGA